UAAGAAUGUUGCAAUUUUCGG
rnacentral:piRNA from 1 species